UCGAGAAUCUUCGGCAAUGGGCGCAAGCCUGACCGAGCGACGCCGCGUGCGGGACGAAGGCCUUCGGGUUGUAAACCGCUGUCAGGGGGGAUCAAAACAAUGAGUGAUCCCCAGAGGAAGCACGGGCUAAGUUCGUGCCAGCAGCCGCGGUAAGACGAACCGUGCGAACGUUGUUCGGAAUCACUGGGCUUAAAGGGCGCGUAGGCGGCUUGCGUAGUCGGGGGUGAAAUCUUUCGGCUUAACCGGAAAAUUGCCUUCGAUACUGGCAGGCUCGAGCGAGGUAGGGGCAGAUGGAACUUCCGGUGGAGCGGUGAAAUGUGUUGAUAUCGGAAGGAACGCCGGUGGCGAAAGCGAUCUGCUGGACCUCUUCUGACGCUGAGGCGCGAAAGCCAGGGGAGCAAACGG
rnacentral:rRNA from 1 species